AGAGUUUGAUCAUGGCUCAGAACGAACGCUGGCGGCGUGGAUAAGGCAUGCAAGUCGAACGAUCUUCGCAAGAAGAUAGUGGCAGAAGGGUUAGUAACGCGUGGGUAAUCUACCUUCGAGACAGGGAUAACCUCCCGAAAGGGGGGCUAAUACCCGAUGACAUUGCGGCUGCGCAUGUGACUGCGAUCAAAGGUGGCCGCAAGGCUGCCGCUUGAAGAUGAGCCCGCGUCCUAUCAGCUAGUUGGUGAGGUAACGGCUCACCAAGGCUUUUGACGGGUAGCUGGUCUAAGAGGACGGUCAGCAACACUGGGACUGAGACACUGCCCAGACUCCUACGGGAGGCUGCAGUCGAGGAUCUUUAUCAAUGCCCGAAAGGGUGAAUAUGCGACGCCGCGUGUGGGAUGAAGGCCUUCGGGUUGUAAACCACUGUCAGGGGUGAGGAAAACCCAUGCGUUAACAGCGCGUGGAUUUGACGUUAACCCCAAAGGAAGCCACGGCUAACUCUGUGCCAGCAGCCGCGGUAAUACAGAGGUGGCAAGCGUUGUUCGGAUUUAUUGGGUGUAAAGGGCAGGUAGGUGGUCGCGCAAGUCCGUUGUGAAAUCCUAGGGCUCAACCCUAGAACUGCAAUAGAAACUGCGCGGCUUGAGUGCUGGAGAGGUGAGGGGAAUUCUCGGUGUAAGGGUGAAAUCUGUAGAUAUCGUGAGGAAUACCAGUGGCGAAGGCGCCUCACUGGCCAGCAACUGACACUGAGCUGCGAAAGCAAGGGGAGCAAACAGGAUUAGAUACCCUGCUAGUCCUUGCCGUGAACGAUGUGGAUUAGUGUCGGGAGUGUCGAUCCUCUCGGCGCCGGCGUUAACACAUUAAAUCCACCACCUGGGGAGUACGGUCGCAAGACUGAAACUCAAAUGAAUUGACGG
rnacentral:rRNA from 1 species